GAAAUGCGAUAAGUAAUGUGAAUUGCAGAAUUCAGUGAAUCAUCGAAUCUUUGAACGCACCUUGCGCUCCUUGGUAUUCCGAGGAGCAUGCCUGUUUGAGUGUCAUGGAAUUCUCAACUCUAUUUGCUUUUGUGAAUAGAGCUUGGAUUUGGAGGUUUAUUGCUGGUACUUGUGAUCGGCUCCUCUUGAAUGCAUUAGCUCGAACCUUUGCGGAUCAGCUAUCGGUGUGAUAAUUGUCUACGCCGUUGCAGUGAAGCAUAUCAAUGGGCUCGGCUUCCAAUCGUCCUUUACUGGACAAUGACUUUGACCUUUGACCUCAAAUCAGGUAGGAUUACCCACUGAACUUAAGC
rnacentral:misc_RNA from 1 species